rnacentral:rRNA from 1 species
CAGUUCGGUCCCUAUCCGUCGCAGGCGUAGGAAAUUUGAGAAGACCUGUCCUUAGUACGAGAGGACCGGGAUGGACGUACCUCUGGUGUACCAGUUGUUCUGCCAAGGGCAUGGCUGGGUAGCUAUGUACGGAAUGGAUAAGCGCUGAAAGCAUCUAAGCGCGAAGCCAACUUCAAGAUAAGAUUUCCCACCGCAAGGGUAAGACCCCAGAAAGACUAUCUGGUUGAUAGGUCGAAGGUGUAAGUGCAGCAAUGUAUUUAGCUUAUCGAUACUAAUAGGUCGAGGACUUGACCAAU